rnacentral:ribozyme from 12 species
UGAAAGAAAUCGAGAGAAAAAUGGAAAGAGACGAUACGAAGUUAGUGCUCUAAUUAGUAUAUCUAGUUAGUAUCGAUCGUCACCUUUGUUCUCUUUCUCUUCUUUCUCUCUCU